rnacentral:rRNA from 1 species
GAUGAACGCUGGCGGCGUGCCUAAUACAUGCAAGUCGAGCGAACAGACGAGGAGCUUGCUCCUCUGACGUUAGCGGCGGACGGGUGAGUAACACGUGGAUAACCUACCUAUAAGACUGGGAUAACUUCGGGAAACCGGAGCUAAUACCGGAUAAUAUAUUGAACCGCAUGGUUCAAUAGUGAAAGACGGUUUUGCUGUCACUUAUAGAUGGAUCCGCGCCGCAUUAGCUAGUUGGUAAGGUAACGGCUUACCAAGGCAACGAUGCGUAGCCGACCUGAGAGGGUGAUCGGCCACACUGGAACUGAGACACGGUCCAGACUCCUACGGGAGGCAGCAGUAGGGAAUCUUCCGCGAUGGGCGAAAGCCUGACGGAGCAACGCCGCGUGAGUGAUGAAGGUCUUCGGAUCGUUAAACUCUGUUAUUAGGGAAGAACAAAUGUGUAAGUAACUAUGCACGUCUUGACGGUACCUAAUCAGAAAGCCACGGCUAACUACGUG